GGGUAGACGGCCUGCUAUAGGAGUUCUGAGUAGACCGUUCGUAGUAGAAGUUCGGCUCUCGUGGGAGCUCGAUCAGGAUCCGGGAGGCGGUCGAUCACUGUAGAAACUUGGGUGGAGUCUGGUUACUAUAAAAACCUCAUUGUCGGGGAAGCCCGGAUGCCGAUGAAGCCCAGAAGAAGUUCAAAGUAGGGUCGUCCGUGGCCGAAAGAAGUCCGGGAGAGACCCAGAGAAUGGU
rnacentral:lncRNA from 1 species